AAGACUAUAGACCUGCGGAGUACCUGCGGAGGGAUCAUUAAAGAGAAAACUGCCCUUUGGGUAGAUCUCCCACCCUUUGUUUACCUUACCUUUGUUGCUUUGGCAGGCCCGUCUUCUGACCACCGGCUUUAGCUGGUCCGUGCCUGCCAGAGGACCCCAAACUCUUAAUUUUAAGUUGUCCGAGUCUUAUAAAAUAGUAAAAACUUUCAGCAACGGAUCUCUAGAUCGGAAGAGCACACG
rnacentral:misc_RNA from 1 species